rnacentral:piRNA from 1 species
UCCUAUUACAGUGCAGAGGCCUAGGA